UACGUAGGGGGCUAGCGUUGUCCGGAAUCAUUGGGCGUAAAGCGCGCGUAGGCGGUCAGGUAAGUCCGGUGUGAAAGUCAAAGGCUCAACCUUUGAAUGCCGCUGGAUACUGCCUGACUUGAGUCCGGAAGGGGCGAGUGGAAUUCCUGGUGUGAGCGGUGAAAUGCGCAGAUAUCAGGAGGAACACCAAUGGCGAAGGCAGCUCGCUGGAACGGUACUGACGCCUGAGGCGCGAAAGCGUGGGGAGCGAACAGG
rnacentral:rRNA from 1 species